CUUCUGGUCCUUCCCAGUAAGCAGUGGGCAAAGUAAUGGCUCUAAGAAGUGGAAUAUGUCAUUUUACAUGGCAAAGGAGAAUUAAGCUUGUCAAAAAUGGAGACAGGAGAAGGAAAGUUAAAGAGAAGAAAGCAUGAGAAAUUCUUGGUCCAACGUUGCUGACUUUUAAGAUGGCAGAAUGGAAUUAUGAGGAAAGAACUUCGGAAACUCUGAAUGAUGGGAAAGGUUAUAUAUAAAUAUCAGGACUGAUGGGAAGUGACUCCAUGAGACAGCCAUGCGCAUAAAGAAUAAAUAACCAUUAGCCAUUUUGCUUGUUGGCUGGAAACAGAGUUUUAUGAUGACUUCUCAAGAUGAGAGACAAUGAAAUGAUACCGAACUGGAGCUGAAUGGCACUUUAAUCUAAAUCUAACUCAGACUGAUUUUGAGUCCUAAUAAAGAGACAAUGAACCCCGACGUUGGAAGACACUGUAUACUGAUUUUCUGUGCAGCUCUGGGGCUAACAAUGCUAUAUAAAGUAUCAAGUUUAUGUGUGUCUUA